rnacentral:rRNA from 1 species
GAUGAACGCUGGCGGCGUGCCUAAUACAUGCAAGUCGAGCGAACAGACGAGGAGCUUGCUCCUCUGACGUUAGCGGCGGACGGGUGAGUAACACGUGGAUAACCUACCUAUAAGACUGGGAUAACUUCGGGAAACCGGAGCUAAUACCGGAUAAUAUAUUGAACCGCAUGGUUCAAUAGUGAAAGACGGUUUUGCUGUCACUUAUAGAUGGAUCCGCGCCGCAUUAGCUAGUUGGUAAGGUAACGGCUUACCAAGGCGACGAUGCGUAGCCGACCUGAGAGGGUGAUCGGCCACACUGGAACUGAGACACGGUCCAGACUCCUACGGGAGGCAGCAGUAGGGAAUCUUCCGCAAUGGGCGAAAGCCUGACGGAGCAGCGCCGCGUGAGUGAUGAAGGUCUUCGGAUCGUAAAACUCUGUUAUUAGGGAAGAACAAAUGUGUAAGUAACCAUGCACGUCUUGACGGUACCUAAUCAGAAAGCCACGGCUAACUACGUG